GGCUCAGGACGAACGCUGGCGGCAUGCCUAACACAUGCAAGUCGAACGGGGGUAGCAAUACCCUAGUGGCGAACGGGUGAGUAACACAUAAGCAAUCUGCUCUUCACAGGGGGAUAACAGCGGGAAACUGCUGCUAAUACCGCAUAAGACCACGGUACCGCAUGGUACAGGGGUAAAAACGAAUCAGUGGUGAAAGGAUGAGCUUAUGUCCCAUUAGCUAGUUGGUGAGAUAACAGCCCACCAAGACGACGAUGGGUAGCCGACCUGAGAGGGUGAUCGGCCACACUGGAACUGAGACACGGUCCAGACUCCUACGGGAGGCAGCAGUGGGGAAUAUUGGGCAAUGGAAGGAAACUCUUACCCAGCAAUGCCGCGUGAGUGAAGAAGGUCUUCGGAUUGUAAAGCUCUUUGAUUGGGGACGAAGAAAGUGACGGUACCCAAAGAACAAGCCCCGGCUAACUACGUGCCAGCCGCCGC
rnacentral:rRNA from 1 species